rnacentral:rRNA from 1 species
ACGGGAGGCAGCAGUGGGGAAUAUUGCACAAUGGGGGAAACCCUGAUGCAGCGACGCCGCGUGAGUGAAGAAGUUAUUCGUAAUGUAAAGCUCUAUCAGCAGGGAAGAAAAUGACGGUACCUGACUAAGAAGCCCCGGCUAACUACGUGCCAGCAGCCGCGGUAAUACGUAGGGGGCAAGCGUUAUCCGGAUUUACUGGGUGUAAAGGGAGCGUAGACGGUCUGGCAAGUCUGAUGUGAAAGGCAGGGGCUCAACUCCUGGACUGCAUCGGAAACUGUCAGUCUUGAGUGCCGGAGAGGUAAGCGGAAUUCCUAGUGUAGCGGUGAAAUGCGUAGAUAUUAGGAGGAACACCAGUGGCGAAGGCGGCUUACUGGACAUUAACUGACGCUGAGGCUCGAAAGCGUGGGGAGCAAACAGGAUUAGAUACCCUGGUA